CAGUCGCCACGGGAAUACAGAGGGUGCGAGCGUUAAUCGGAUUUACUGGGCGUAAAGCGUGCGUAGGCGGCUUCUUAAGUCGGAUGUGAAAUCCCUGAGCUUAACUUAGGAAUUGCAUUCGAUACUGGGAAGCUAGAGUAUGGGAGAGGAUGGUAGAAUUCCAGGUGUAGCGGUGAAAUGCGUAGAGAUCUGGAGGAAUACCGAUGGCGAAGGCAGCCAUCUGGCCUAAUACUGACGCUGAGGUACGAAAGCAUGGGGAGCAAACAGGAUUAGAGACCCGUGUAGUCCUGUCUCUUAUACA
rnacentral:rRNA from 1 species